rnacentral:misc_RNA from 1 species
GUUGGAUAUCAGCUCAGUGACGUCCAUUAUGCAGUCUGGGUCUCCUCCAAGCCCGGAGAGAUCAAUGACUAAGUUGUGGAGAAGGCUCAAGUCCAAAGGUGAUAACCCUUGUGGCAGAUCAUUUCACCGAGCUUGUGUGGAUCCUUCAGGUCGCAAUUUAUACAUCUUCGGUGGCAUGGUAGAUGGUUUACUUAAUCCUGCUGAAUCCUCUGGGUUGAGGUUUGACGGGGAGUUGUUUCUUGUGGAGCUUUUGCUUCAGUGCUAGUGGGAUUUGGAAGGGGAUUAUU